AUGUGUGAUGGAAUAAAGGAUAAGCAGAUGGUGAGGUGGCAUAGGAAUAGGGAGAGUGGAAAGAAAGCUAGAUGGGACAUAACACCCCAUUAUAGUGAGAAGCUAGAGGUUGAGAAGGAGAGGGCCAAAUAUUGCAAACCAAUUCAAGCUGGUGUGGACUUGUGGCAAGUUACAAGUGGGCAGCAAACCCAUGCUGUUAACUUGCAAAUGCACACAUGUGGGUGCAGAAAAUGGGACCUAAGUGGCAUCCCAUGUAACCAUGCCAUCUCAGCAAUAAACAAGGCCAAAAGAAAACCAGAGGAUUAUGUCAGCAAGUUCUUCAAGAAAGAAAUUUAUCUGGCAGCUUAUGAACCAAUGAUCUAUCCAGUUCCUGGUGAGCAUGACUGGACAAGGACACCUGGUCCAGACAUUGACCCACCUGCAUUUAAAGUGAAGAGAGGAAGAAAGAAAGAGAAGAGGAUCAAGGGGAAAUUUGAAGUCCCAAAGCCUAAGGGGACAUCAAGAAUGGGGACUAUAACAUGUGGCAACUGUGGACUGCAAGGACAUAGCCUCUUGCAAGGAAUUCCAAUGCUGGUGCUGCUGCUACUACACAAGCAUCAACAACUUCUCAUCCAACUCCUACAACAACACCAACAGCUGGAACAGGAGCUGGGAGAGGAGCUGGGAGAGGAGCUGGGAGAGGAGCUGGGAGAGGGGCUGCAGCUGCAGCUGCUGGGACUGGUGCUGCUAGAGGUGCUGGUAGAGGUGCUGCACCAGGUGCUGGGAGAGGUGCUGGGAGAGGGAGAGCUUCUGGUGGUAGAAACAGAGGAUGGAGAGCCUACUUCUAUGCAAGUGGUAACCACUAAAUGGCACAUGUGCCAUGUAAUGUUCAAAACUAGAUACUUCAUGUGUGUUCUUGCAUCCUAUGGUACAAUGUGA
rnacentral:rRNA from 1 species